CCUACGGGAGGCAGCAGUGGGGAAUCUUGCGCAAUGCGCGAAAGCGUGACGCAGCAACGCCGCGUGAGGGAAGAAGGCCUUCGGGUUGUAAACCUCUUUCAGGAGGGACGAAGGUUCAGGCGCGAACAGCGACCUGGACUGACGGUACCUCCAGAAGAAGCCCCGGCUAACUACGUGCCAGCAGCCGCGGUAAUACGUAGGGGGCUAGCGUUGUCCGGAAUCAUUGGGCGUAAAGCGCGCGUAGGCGGCCCGGUAAGUCCGCUGUAAAAGUCAAAGGCUCAACCUUUGAAUGUCAGUGGAUACUGCCGGGCUAGAGUCCGGAAGAGGCGAGUGGAAUUCCUGGUGUAGCGGUGGAAUGCGCAGAUAUCAGGAGGAACACCAACGGCGAAGGCAGCUCGCUGGGACGGUACUGACGCUGAGGCGCGAAAGCGUGGGGAGCGAACAGGAUUAGAUACCCUGGUAGUCCACGCCGUAAACGAUGGGCACUAGGUGUGGGAGGUGUCGACUCCUCCCGUGCCGGCGCUAACGCAUUAAGUGCCCCGCCUGGGGAGUACGGCCGCAAGGCUAAAACUCAAAGGAAUUGACGGGGGCCCGCACAAGCAGCGGAGCAUGUGGUUUAAUUCGAUGCAACGCGAAGAACCUUACCUGGGCUUGACAUGUAACUGACAGCCGUGGAAACACGGUCUUCCCUUCGGGACAGUUACACAGGUGGUGCUUGGCUGUCGUUAGCUCGUGUUCCGAGAUGUUGGGUCAACUUCCCGCAUUUAAUUCUACCCUUGUUUCUGCCGCCUUCCUUUAAU
rnacentral:rRNA from 1 species